GUGGAUUAGAUACCCUGGUAGUCCACGCCCUAAACGGUGCACACUAGGUCUUGGCGGAUUCGACCCCGCCAGGGCCCAAGCUAACGCGUUAAGUGUGCCGCCUGAGGACUACGGCCGCAAGGCUAAAACUCAAAGGAAUUGACGGGGGCCCGCACAAGCGGUGGAGUAUGUGGCUCAAUUCGAUGCAACGCGAAGAACCUUACCUGGCCUUGACAUGCACUAGACAGACGCUGAAAGGCGUUCUCCCUUCGGGGCUGGUGCACAGGUGCUGCAUGGUCGUCGACAGCU
rnacentral:rRNA from 1 species